GAAUUGUGUCUGUAGUAGUGGGUUUUACUUGUCAUCAAGAGACUCACACAAAGUCUGUAAUCUAAAUAUUGCACCAGAUUUGGAAACCUGCCGACUGGGCGUACAAAAUAGUGGAGGUGAAGCACGUAAUUCAACAUCAAAAGGACCAUGCCUCCAGGAGAAAUACAACUAUAUGAAGUUUCAACCGAAGUAUUCAUCUGUUGAGUUUACAUUCGGAAGCACAAUAAAUGUUUCAGCAAAUAUUCCAGACCAUAUUUCAGAAUACCAAUUCGGUAUCGUUAACUCAACGAUUUUAGUUUCAACAAGAAAUAUCAAUGGACAUCAACACAACCAUAAGUAUUUAAAUCUCAAGCAGACUAACAGUUGCUCCAGAAAUAAUUUUACCGACACAAAUCCCAUAUCAACCAUAAAUACCUGUAAAAUGACUAUUGAAACACCAUGGAUAAUACAGGAUGGGGAACAGUAAGUAAUUG